rnacentral:rRNA from 1 species
UACGUAGGGUGCGGGCGUUACUCAUAUUUACUGGGCGUAAAGGGUGCGUAGGUGGUUUAUAGUAGUUUUUUGUAAAAGGUUAAUGGUUUUAAAAAUUGCAAAUUAAGACUGGUAAACUAAGAGUAUAUAAGAGGAUGAUGGUACUCACAGUGUAGAGGUAGAAUUCGGAGAUAUUGACGGGGACUAUCGAAGGCGAAGGCAUUCAUCUAAUAUAUACUGACGCUGAGGCACUAAAGCAUGGGUCUCGAACAGG